CAUUAAAGGAGAGAUUUUCACACAUGGAAACCUUUUAUGAGCUGUAUGGAUUUCUCUACUCCACUGAUGUCAUGAGAAGCACUGAGAAGGAAGGGAAGCUGGAUGAAUGUUGCCAGAGACUUGAGCAGACGAUGGAUGACAUUGAUGCAGAGGAUAUGAAACUUGAGAUGGCCCCGUGCCUGCCUUUGCCUAGACUACUACAGAAAGGGACAAAAGAACACAGAAGAAAACCACAACAAAAAGGAUAAGAAGAGAGCGACAAAAGAGGGCCCCAUGCCUGUCUUUGCCUAGGGCCCCAAAUUUCCUAAGUCCGCCCCUGGA